GACGAACGCUGGCGGCGUGCUUAACACAUGCAAGUCGAACGGAAAGGCCCUGCUUUUGUGGGGUGCUCGAGUGACGAACGGGUGAGUAACACGUGAGUAACCUGCCCUUGACUUUGGGAUAACUUCAGGAAACUGGGGCUAAUACCGGAUAGGAGCUCCUGCUGCCUGGUGGGGGUUGGAAAGUUUCGGCGGUUGGGGAUGGACUCGCGGCUUAUCAGCUUGUUGGUGGGGUAGUGGCUUACCAAGGCUUUGACGGGUAGCCGGCCUGAGAGGGUGACCGGCCACAUUGGGACUGAGAUACGGCCCAGACUCCUACGGGAGGCAGCAGUGGGGAAUAUUGCACAAUGGGCGGAAGCCUGAUGCAGCAACGCCGCGUGCGGGAUGACGGCCUUCGGGUUGUAAACCGCUUUCGCCUGUGACGAAGCGUGAGUGACGGUAAUGGGUAAAGAAGCACCGGCUAACUACGUG
rnacentral:rRNA from 1 species